GGGGCCAUAGCUCAGCUGGGAGAGCGUCUGGCUGGCAGCCAGAAGGUCAGGGGUUCGAGCCCCCUUGGCUCCACCA
rnacentral:tRNA from 2 species